rnacentral:rRNA from 1 species
GUACCUAAGGAGGAAGCCACGGCUAACUACGUGCCAGCAGCCGCGGUAAUACGGAAGGUCCGGGCGUUAUCCGGAUUUAUUGGGUUUAAAGGGAGCGUAGGCCGGAGAUUAAGCGUGUUGUGAAAAUGUAGAUGCUCAACAUCUGCACUGCAGCGCGAACUGGUUUCCUUGAGUACGCACAAAGUGGGCGGAAUUCGUGGUGUAGCGGUGAAAUGCUUAGAUAUCACGAAGAACUCCGAUUGCGAAGGCAGCUCACUGGAGCGCAACUGACGCUGAAGCUCGAAAGUGCGGGUAUCGAACAGGAUUAGAUACCCUGGUAGUCCGCACGGUAAACGAUGGAUGCCCGCUGUUGGUCUGAAUAGGUCAGCGGCCAAGCGAAAGCAUUAAGCAUCCCACCUGGGGAGUACGCCGGCAACGGUGAAACUCAAAGGAAUUGACGGGGGCCCGCACAAGCGGAGGAACAUGUGGUUUAAUUCGAUGAUACGCGAGGAACCUUACCCGGGCUUGAAUUGCAGAGGAAGGAUUUGGAGACAAUGACGCCCUUCGGGGUCUCUGUGAAGGUGCUGCAUGGUUGUCGUCAGCUCGUGCCGUGAGGUGUCGGCUUAAGUGCCAUAACGAGCGCAACCCCUCUCCUUAGUUGCCAUCAGGUCAAGCUGGGCACUCUGGGGACACUGCCACCGUAAGGUGUGAGGAAGGUGGGGAUAACGUCAAAUCAGCACGGCCCUUACGUCCGGGGCUACACACGUGUUACAAUGGCAGGUACAGAGAGAAGGUCGUGCGCAAGUACGAUCAAAUCCUUAAAGCCUGUCUCAGUUCGGACUGGGGUCUGCAACCCGACCCCACGAAGCUGGAUUCGCUAGUAAUCGCGCAUCAGCCAUGGCGCGGUGAAUACGUUCCCGGGCCUUGUACACACCGCCCGUCAAG